GCAAGUCUACUUGAAUUUGGGUUUUUUAACUUAGAUUUGGGUGGCGGACGGGUGAGUAACGCGUAAAGAACUUGCCUCACAGCUAGGGACAACAUUUGGAAACGAAUGCUAAUACCUGAUAUUAUGAUUAUAAGGCAUCUUAGAAUUAUGAAAGCUAUACGCGCUGUGAGAGAGCUUUGCGUCCCAUUAGCUAGUUGGAGAGGUAACGGCUCACCAAGGCGACGACGGGUAGCCGGCCUGAGAGGGUGACC
rnacentral:rRNA from 1 species